rnacentral:rRNA from 1 species
GGUUAAGCGACUAAGCGUACACGGUGGAUGCCCUGGCAGUCAGAGGCGAUGAAGGACGUGCUAAUCUGCGAUAAGCGUCGGUAAGGUGAUAUGAACCGUUAUAACCGGCGAUUUCCGAAUGGGGAAACCCAGUGUGUUUCGACACACUAUCAUUAACUGAAUCCAUAGGUUAAUGAGGCGAACCGGGGGAACUGAAACAUCUAAGUACCCCGAGGAAAAGAAAUCAACCGAGAUUCCCCCAGUAGCGGCGAGCGAACGGGGAGCAGCCCAGAGCCUGAAUCAGUGUGUGUGUUAGUGGAAGCGUCUGGAAAGGCGCGCGAUACAGGGUGACAGCCCCGUACACAAAAAUGCACAUACUGUGAGCUCGAUGAGUAGGGCGGGACACGUGGUAUCCUGUCUGAAUAUGGGGGGACCAUCCUCCAAGGCUAAAUACUCCUGACUGACCGAUAGUGAACCAGUACCGUGAGGGAAAGGCGAAAAGAACCCCGGCGAGGGGAGUGAAAAAGAACCUGAAACCGUGUACGUACAAGCAGUGGGAGCACAGAGCAAUCUGUGUGACUGCGUACCUUUUGUAUAAUGGGUCAGCGACUUAUAUUCUGUAGCAAGGUUAACCGAAUAGGGGAGCCGAAGGGAAACCGAGUCUUAACUGGGCGUUAAGUUGCAGGGUAUAGACCCGAAACCCGGUGAUCUAGCCAUGGGCAGGUUGAAGGUUGGGUAACACUAACUGGAGGACCGAACCGACUAAUGUUGAAAAAUUAGCGGAUGACUUGUGGCUGGGGGUGAAAGGCCAAUCAAACCGGGAGAUAGCUGGUUCUCCCCGAAAGCUAUUUAGGUAGCGCCUCGUGAAUUCAUCUCCGGGGGUAGAGCACUGUUUCGGCAAGGGGGUCAUCCCGACUUACCAACCCGAUGCAAACUGCGAAUACCGGAGAAUGUUAUCACGGGAGACACACGGCGGGUGCUAACGUCCGUCGUGAAGAGGGAAACAACCCAGACCGCCAGCUAAGGUCCCAAAGUCAUGGUUAAGUGGGAAACGAUGUGGGAAGGCCCAGACAGCCAGGAUGUUGGCUUAGAAGCAGCCAUCAUUUAAAGAAAGCGUAAUAGCUCACUGGUCGAGUCGGCCUGCGCGGAAGAUGUAACGGGGCUAAACCAUGCACCGAAGCUGCGGCAGCGACGCUGAUGCGUUGUUGGGUAGGGAGCGUUCUGUAAGCCUGCGAAGUGUACUGUGAGUAUGCUGGAGGUAUCAGAGUGCGAUGCUGACAUAGUAACGAUAAAGCGGGUGAAAAGCCCGCUCGCCGGAAGACCAAGGGUUCCUGUCCAACGUUAAUCGGGGCAGGGUGAGUCGACCCCUAAGGCGAGGCCGAAAGGCGUAGUCGAUGGGAAACAGGUUAAUAUUCCUGUACUUGGUGUUACUGCGAAGGGGGGACGGAGAAGGCUAUGUUGGCCGGGCGACGGUUGUCCCGGUUUAAGCGUGUAGGCUGGUUUUCCAGGCAAAUCCGGAAAAUCAAGGCUGAGGCGUGAUGACGAGGCACUACGGUGCUGAAGCAACAAAUGCCCUGCUUCCAGGAAAAGCCUCUAAGCAUCAGGUAACAUCAAAUCGUACCCCAAACCGACACAGGUGGUCAGGUAGAGAAUACCAAGGCGCUUGAGAGAACUCGGGUGAAGGAACUAGGCAAAAUGGUGCCGUAACUUCGGGAGAAGGCACGCUGAUAUGUAGGUGAAGUCCCUCGCGGAUGGAGCUGAAAUCAGUCGAAGAUACCAGCUGGCUGCAACUGUUUAUUAAAAACACAGCACUGUGCAAACACGAAAGUGGACGUAUACGGUGUGACGCCUGCCCGGUGCCGGAAGGUUAAUUGAUGGGGUCAGCGCAAGCGAAGCUCUUGAUCGAAGCCCCGGUAAACGGCGGCCGUAACUAUAACGGUCCUAAGGUAGCGAAAUUCCUUGUCGGGUAAGUUCCGACCUGCACGAAUGGCGUAAUGAUGGCCAGGCUGUCUCCACCCGAGACUCAGUGAAAUUGAACUCGCUGUGAAGAUGCAGUGUACCCGCGGCAAGACGGAAAGACCCCGUGAACCUUUACUAUAGCUUGACACUGAACAUUGAGCCUUGAUGUGUAGGAUAGGUGGGAGGCUUUGAAGUGUGGACGCCAGUCUGCAUGGAGCCGACCUUGAAAUACCACCCUUUAAUGUUUGAUGUUCUAACGUUGACCCGUAAUCCGGGUUGCGGACAGUGUCUGGUGGGUAGUUUGACUGGGGCGGUCUCCUCCUAAAGAGUAACGGAGGAGCACGAAGGUUGGCUAAUCCUGGUCGGACAUCAGGAGGUUAGUGCAAUGGCAUAAGCCAGCUUGACUGCGAGCGUGACGGCGCGAGCAGGUGCGAAAGCAGGUCAUAGUGAUCCGGUGGUUCUGAAUGGAAGGGCCAUCGCUCAACGGAUAAAAGGUACUCCGGGGAUAACAGGCUGAUACCGCCCAAGAGUUCAUAUCGACGGCGGUGUUUGGCACCUCGAUGUCGGCUCAUCACAUCCUGGGGCUGAAGUAGGUCCCAAGGGUAUGGCUGUUCGCCAUUUAAAGUGGUACGCGAGCUGGGUUUAGAACGUCGUGAGACAGUUCGGUCCCUAUCUGCCGUGGGCGCUGGAGAACUGAGGGGGGCUGCUCCUAGUACGAGAGGACCGGAGUGGACGCAUCACUGGUGUUCGGGUUGUCAUGCCAAUGGCACUGCCCGGUAGCUAAAUGCGGAAGAGAUAAGUGCUGAAAGCAUCUAAGCACGAAACUUGCCCCGAGAUGAGUUCUCCCUGACUCCUUGAGAGUCCUGAAGGAACGUUGAAGACGACGACGUUGAUAGGCCGGGUGUGUAAGCGCAGCGAUGCGUUGAGCUAACCGGUACUAAUGAACCGUGAGGCUUAACCUU